GACGAACGCUGGCGGCGUGCUUAACACAUGCAAGUCGAACGAUGAAGCCGGAGCUUGCUCUGGUGAAUUAGUGGCGAACGGGUGAGUAACACGUGAGUAACCUGCCCUUGGCUCUGGGAUAACUGCGGGAAACUGUAGCUAAUACCGGAUACGACCCUCGGAGGCAUCUCCUGGGGGUGGAAAGAAUUUCGGUCAAGGAUGGACUCGCGGCCUAUCAGCUAGCUGGUGAGGUAAAGGCUCACCAAGGCGACGACGGGUAGCCGGCCUGAGAGGGUGACCGGCCACACUGGGACUGAGACACGGCCCAGACUCCUACGGGAGGCAGCAGUGGGGAAUAUUGCACAAUGGGCGCAAGCCUGAUGCAGCAACGCCGCGUGAGGGAUGACGGCCUUCGGGUUGUAAACCUCUUUUAGCAGGGAAGAAGCGAAAGUGACGGUACCUGCAGAAAAAGCACCGGCUAACUACGUGCCAGCCGCCGCAGUAA
rnacentral:rRNA from 1 species